rnacentral:lncRNA from 1 species
AGGUGUGUGCGCGCGCACGCAUACAGAGAGAGAUAGAAGGGGAAACCUUGUUCUUGAUAAUCUCCUCUAAAUCAUUCAAUUCAAACUGAAAUCGAAGUGAUUAUAGUGAAUGCUUGAAGUUCUGAUAAGUACUACUUCAUCCUAACACAAGAUCAGAUGAUGACGAAUUAACCAUUUUCCGGGUUGUUCUCUAUAGGCGACUCGAGUGAUAAGGUAGGUGAUAAAGCCUGGAGUGAUACACGACUUAAAAGAAAGCUCUAAGGUACGUGGAAAUAUGCUUCGUGAACUCAUAGCAAGUGUCGGAUGAUGAAGAUCAAGUCUCGAAGGACUGAACACUCUUUAAUUAAAUGAAAUGUCUUCAGUUUUUGUUAAAAAAAUUUAAUGAAUCUAGUAUUAUGUUUAGUCAUGACAAGCUACUAGUAACUUGUUAGUUUAUUAUCUAAACUCUUUGGAUGUUUAUGAAAAAAAAUUACUAGUUUUAAGG